AUGGCAAUGACAAUGGGAAGCAAGGCUGUAAGGCAGAGCAAAUCCGGAAAGAUUGCCUCAGUUCGAAUUAUUCUAUGCAACUCGGGAACAUGAAG
rfam:Oryza sativa (indica cultivar-group) chromosome 6, whole genome shotgun sequence.